rnacentral:rRNA from 1 species
CUCAGAACGAACGCUGGCGGCAGGCCUAACACAUGCAAGUCGAGCGGGGGAGCAAUCCCUAGCGGCGGACGGGUUAGUAACGCGUGGGAACAUACCCUUUGGUACGGAAUAGCCUCGGGAAACUGAGAGUAAUACCGUAUGUGCCCUUCGGGGGGAAAGAUUUAUCGCCAAAGGAUUGGCCCGCGUUGGAUUAGGUAGUUGGUGGGGUAAAGGCCUACCAAGGCGACGAUCCAUAGCUGGUCUGAGAGGAUGAUCAGCCACACUGGGACUGAGACACGGCCCAGACUCCUACGGGAGGCAGCAGUGGGGAAUAUUGGACAAUGGGCGAAAGCCUGAUCCAGCAAUGCCGCGUGAGUGAUGAAGGCCUUAGGGUUGUAAAGCUCUUUUACCCGAGAUGAUAAUGACAGUAUCGGGAGAAUAAGCUCCGGCUAACUCCGUG